GACGAACGCUGGCGGCGUGCUUAACACAUGCAAGUCGAACGAAGUGGCGAACGGGUGAGUAACGCGUAAUCAAACUGCCCUUCAGAGGGGGACAACAGUUGGAAACGACUGCUAAUACCGCAUACUGAAGGAGGGGAUUGCGUCUGAUUAGCUAGUUGGAGGGGUAACGGCCCACAAAGGCGAUGAUCCGUAGCCGGUCUGAGAGGGUGAACGGGCACAUUGGGACUGAGACACGGCCCAGAAUCCUACGGGAGGCAGCAGUGGGGAAGCUUCCGCAAUGGACGAAAGUCUGACGGAGCAACGCCGCGUGAGUGAGGACGGCCUUCGGGUUGUAAAGCUCUGUUAAUCGGGACGCGGUACCGGAAUAGAAAGCCACGGCUAACUACGUGCCAGCCGCCGCGGUAAUAC
rnacentral:rRNA from 1 species